rnacentral:rRNA from 1 species
GAUGAACGCUGGCGGCGUGCCUAAUACAUGCAAGUCGAGCGAAUGGAUUAAGAGCUUGCUCUUAUGAAGUUAGCGGCGGACGGGUGAGUAACACGUGGGUAACCUGCCCAUAAGACUGGGAUAACUCCGGGAAACCGGGGCUAAUACCGGAUAAUAUUUUGAACUGCAUGGUUCAAAAUUGAAGGGCGGCUUCGGCUGUCACUUAUGGAUGGACCCGCGUCGCAUUAGCCAGUUGGUGAGGUAACGGCUCACCAAGGCAACGAUGCGUAGCCGACCUGAGAGGGUGAUCGGCCACACUGGGACUGAGACACGGCCCAGACUCCUACGGGAGGCAGCAGUAGGGAAUCUUCCGCAAUGGACGAAAGUCUGACGGAGCAACGCCGCGUGAGUGAUGAAGGCUUUCGGGUCGUAAAACUCUGUUGUUAGGGAAGAACAAGUGCUAGUUGAAUAAGCUGGCACCUUGACGGUACCUAACCAGAAAGUCACGGCUAACUACGUGCCAGCCGCCGCCGUAA